rnacentral:rRNA from 1 species
UGGGGAAUAUUGCACAAUGGGCGAAAGCCUGAUGCAGCAACGCCGCGUGAGGGACGAAGGCCUUCGGGUUGUAAACCUCUUUUAGUAGGGAAGAAGCGAAAGUGACGGUACCUGCAGAAAAAGCACCGGCUAACUACGUGCCAGCAGCCGCGGUAAUACGUAGGGUGCAAGCGUUGUCCGGAAUUAUUGGGCGUAAAGAGCUCGUAGGCGGUUUGUCGCGUCUGCUGUGAAAACUGGAGGCUCAACCUCCAGCCUGCAGUGGGUACGGGCAGACUAGAGUGCGGUAGGGGAGAUUGGAAUUCCUGGUGUAGCGGUGGAAUGCGCAGAUAUCAGGAGGAACACCGAUGGCGAAGGCAGAUCUCUGGGCCGCUACUGACGCUGAGGAGCGAAAGCAUGGGGAGCGAACA